rnacentral:rRNA from 1 species
AGCGAACGCUGGCGGCAGGCUUAACACAUGCAAGUCGAGCGGGCCCUUCGGGGUCAGCGGCGGACGGGUGAGUAACGCGUGGGAAUGUGCCUUCUGGUCUGGAAUAACCCUGGGAAACUAGGGCUAAUACCGGAUACGCCCUUUUGGGGAAAGGUUUACUGCCGGAAGAUCGGGCCGCGUCUGAUUAGCUCGUUGGUGGGGUAACGGCCUACCAAGGCGACGAUCAGUAGCUGGUCUGUGAGGUUGAUCAGCCACACUGGGACUGAGACACGGCCCAGACUCCUACGGGAAGCAGCAGUGGGGAAUAUUGGACAAUGGGCGCAAGCCUGAUCCAGCCAUGCCGCGUGAGUGAUGAAGGCCUUAGGGUUGUAAAGCUCUUUUAUCCGGGACGAUAAUGACGGUACCGGAGGAAUAAGCCCCGGCUAACUUCGUG